GUGGAACUCGGCUGUACCACUGCAGUGCUGCGGAAAUUGCCUUCACCACCGGCUUUGCAACAGCUGUUUUGCAGCAUGUCGGAGACAAUGCCUACGAAAUUAUUGGCCCUGAUCAUGAGAGCCCUCAAGGGGCAAACAACAUCUCUGUUGCAGAAGUGAGCCCGAUACCACUUGGAAGUUACCAUGACAGAUGACACGGCAGCAAUAGAUACAGAGACUGCCAUGUCUACUGCAGCUGCAACAGUGUACGAGGCAAGCAGCAGCGCGUCAGCAUCAGCAGCAGUGUCAGAAGGAACCACACCAGGCCUGGUAGAGCAACAUGUGUGCUAUCACUGACUUUUUUUGUAGUGGAUACAACUCAUUUGCUCAACACACAAAA
rnacentral:lncRNA from 1 species